rnacentral:rRNA from 1 species
AGUGAACGCUGGCGGUAGGCCUAACACAUGCAAGUCGAACGGCAGCACAGUAAGAGCUUGCUCUUACGGGUGGCGAGUGGCGGACGGGUGAGGAAUACAUCGGAAUCUACUUUUUCGUGGGGGAUAACGUAGGGAAACUUACGCUAAUACCGCAUACGACCUACGGGUGAAAGCAGGGGAUCUUCGGACCUUGCGCGAUUGAAUGAGCCGAUGUCGGAUUAGCUAGUUGGCGGGGUAAAGGCCCUCCAAGGCGACGAUCCGUAGCUGGUCUGAGAGGAUGAUCAGCCACACUGGAACUGAGACACGGUCCAGACUCCUACGGGAGGCAGCAGUGGGAAAUAUUGGACAAAGGGCGCAAGCCUGAUCCAGCCAUACCGCGUGGGUGAAGAAGGCCUUCGGGUUGUAAAGCCCUUUUGUUGGGAAAGAAAAGCAGCAGGUUAAUACCCCGCUGUUCUGACGGUACCCAAAGAAUAAGCACCGGCUAACUUCGUG